GAAAGAGAAAAGAAGGAGAGAUCACCAGAAAGAGAGGAAGAGAAGAAGUGGGAAGAAAAGGAGCUGCAGUCUACAAUGGAAGCCUCCAGGCUCCUUAGCCUCACCUUAUAAAGCCACAUCACCGCAGAGAUAGCAAAGAUCGUGCCCUUUCCCAGGGAGUUUCUACCGCCAGGCUAAGACCCUGGGAGAAAAGACUGCCUCCAGGGAAUCAUGUCCGAUUAGGGACAAAGGAGGGCACAAGCCCAAUUCAGUCACACUGACUAUGA
rnacentral:lncRNA from 1 species